CGGACGGGUGAGUAACGCGUGAGAAUCUAGCUUCAGGUUCGGGACAACAUUGGGAAACCGAUGCUAAUACCGGAUGUGCCGAGAGGUGAAAGGCUUGCUGCCUGAAGAAGAGCUCGCGUCUGAUUAGCUAGUUGGUGGUGUAAGGGACUACCAAGGCGACGAUCAGUAGCUGGUCUGAGAGGAUGAUCAGCCACACUGGAACUGAGACACGGUCCAGACUCCUACGGGAGGCAGCAGUGGGGAAUUUUCCGCAAUGGGCGAAAGCCUGACGGAGCAAUACCGCGUGAGGGAGGAAGGCUCUUGGGUUGUAAACCUCUUUUCUCAAGGAAGAAGUUCUGACGGUACUUGAGGAAUCAGCAUCGGCUAACUCCGUGCCAG
rnacentral:rRNA from 1 species